GAUGAACGCUGGCGGUAUGCUUAACACAUGCAAGUCGAACGGACUCUUCGGAGUUAGUGGCGGACGGGUGAGUAACGCGUGAGAAUAUGGCUUUGGGUUCGGGACAACCACUGGAGACGGUGGCUAAUAACGGAUGUGCCGAGAGGUAAAAGAGAAGUUGCCUGAUGAUGAGCUGGCGUAUGAUUAGCUAGUUGGUGUGGUAAAGGCUCACCGAGGCAGCGAUCAGUAGCUGGUCUGAGAGGAUGAGCAGCCAAACUGAGACUGAGACACGGCCCAGACUCCUACGGGAGGCAGCAGUGGAGAAUGUACCGCAGGUGGCGAAAGCCUGACGGAGCAAUGCCGCGGGAGGGAAGAAGGCUCUUGUGGUGUAAGCCUCUUUUCUUAGGGAAGAACAAAAUGACGGUACCUAAUGAAUCAGCAUCGGCUAACUCCGUG
rnacentral:rRNA from 1 species